rnacentral:rRNA from 1 species
CCUACGGGGGGCUGCAGUGGGGAAUUUUGGACAAUGGGGGAAACCCUGAUCCAGCAAUGCCGCGUGCAGGAUGAAGGCCUUCGGGUUGUAAACUGCUUUUGUACGGAACGAAAAGCUCUGGGUUAAUACCCUGGAGUCAUGACGGUACCGUAAGAAUAAGCACCGGCUAACUACGUGCCAGCAGCCGCGGUAAUACGUAGGGUGCGAGCGUUAAUCGGAAUUACUGGGCGUAAAGCGUGCGCAGGCGGUUUUGUAAGACAGUGGUGAAAUCCCCGGGCUCAACCUGGGAACUGCCAUUGUGACUGCAAGGCUGGAGUGCGGCAGAGGGGGAUGGAAUUCCGCGUGUAGCAGUGAAAUGCGUAGAUAUGCGGAGGAACACCGAUGGCGAAGGCAAUCCCCUGGGCCUGCACUGACGCUCAUGCACGAAAGCGUGGGGAGCAAACAGGAUUAGAUACCCCGGUAGUC